AUGUCCAAUAGGUGCGAGAGGGCGGGGCAGCCUCGUUCUGACUGGGGAGGCUAUAUAAGGAGCUACUGGUUGCGCGUCUCGGUCUUUUACGUAGGCCUUCGUGAUCGUUUGGUUGUGUGGAACAAUGGCGCUGUCAUGGCCCAGCAGAGCAGAUCUGAAGAUGCAAAGAUACAUGAAAGAAUUCCAGAAUAUGCGGGAGAAUAUUUAAUGGAAAACCGCUUGGUUAAACCUGACACUCUUCAUGGCAUUCUGGGUGUGGACGAUCAGCCAGUGAAGAUAAUGAAUGUCGGAUGUCACUGA
rnacentral:lncRNA from 10 species